AUUGAACGCUGGCGGCAUGCCUAAUACAUGCAAGUCGAGCGAGCGGCGGACGGGUGAGUAAUGUCUGGGAAACUGCCUGAUGGAGGGGGAUCACUACUGGAAACGGUAUCUAAAAACGCCUACCAUCAGAUGUGCCCAGAUGGGAUUAGCUAGUAGGUGGGGUAACGGCCUACCUAGGCGACGAUCCCUAGCUGGUCUGAGAGGAUGAUCAGCCACACUGGAGCUGAGACACGGUCCAGACUCCUACGGGAGGCAGCAGUGGGGAAUAUUGGGCAAUGGGCGCAAGCCUGAUACAGCCAUGGCGCGUGAGUGAAGAAGGCCUUCGGGUUGUAAAGCACGUUACUCGGGGAAGCGUUACCUAACGAAGAAGCACCGGCUAACUCCGUGCCAGCAGCCGCGGUAAUAC
rnacentral:rRNA from 1 species